AAGUAGCUCAGCUUGGUAGAGCACUUGGUUUGGGACCAAGGGGUCGCAGGUUCGAAUCCUGUCUUCUCGACCA
rnacentral:tRNA from 1 species